rnacentral:lncRNA from 1 species
UUAGGGAUCGUUCGACAAUGAAGUCUACCAGUACUUACAUUUUUAUUGUUGUGCGAAGCUAAUACUCAAUGUCGAACUCUCUGAGCUUGAUUGUCCAUUUCGUCAGGUGAUCAGAUGUAUUCGAUCUGUGAAGUAUUACUUUCAGGGGCUGAUCGGUUAGCAUAACAAUAAUGUGGGCUUGAAAGUACGAUCGAAGAUACUUGCUAGCGAUGAUAAUUUUAUAAAUUAUUUUUUUGAUUGGCAUAUACAUAGUUUUUGCAUCUUUGAGGACUUUACUGGUGUAAUAGAUCGA